rnacentral:rRNA from 1 species
UAACACGUGAGCAACCUGCCUCUCAGAGGGGGAUAACGUUUGGAAACGAACGCUAAUACCGCAUGAAAUAUUGGCAUCGCAUGGUGCUGAUAUCAAAGGAGCAAUCCGCUGAGAGAUGGGCUCGCGUCCGAUUAGAUAGUUGGCGGGGUAACGGCCCACCAAGUCGACGAUCGGUAGCCGGCCUGAGAGGGCGGACGGCCACAUUGGGACUGAGACACGGCCCAAACUCCUACGGAAGGCAGCAG